rnacentral:misc_RNA from 1 species
GAUGAAGAACGUAGCGAAAUGCGAUACGUAAUGUGAAUUGCAGAAUUCAGUGAAUCAUCGAGUCUUUGAACGCACAUUGCGCCCCCUGGUAUUCCGGGGGGCAUGCCUGUCCGAGCGUCAUUGCUGCCCUCAAGCCCGGCUUGUGUGUUGGGUCUCGUCCCCCUUCCCGGGGGGACGGGCCCGAAAGGCAGCGGCGGCACCGCGUCCGGUCCUUGAGCGUAUGGGGCUUUGUCACCCGCUCUGUAGGCCCGGCCGGCGCUUGCCGAUCAACCAAAACUUUUUUCCAGGUUGACCUCGGAUCAGGUAGGGAUACCCGCUGAACUUAAGCAUAUCAAUAAGCGGAGGA